rnacentral:lncRNA from 1 species
CCUGGUAAGGUUUUUAACGAGGCAGUUCACACACAAAGGAUGUUGUACUCUUUUUCCUUCACUAUGAUUUUUCCCACUGGGUUUUUAAUAGUAAGGUUUUAAUGAGGCAUAUCAUCGAUGGACAUCCAAGAGGGAGUGUUAUGAAUAAUAUAGAUGUGGAUGUCCAUUAGUCUAGGCCCAUAUUAUUGGCCCAUGUAAUCUCCUAUAUAUAUGACUAUCUCACAAUGUAAAAGACACACCUUGAAUAGAACAAUACAAGAGUCUAUUCUCUCUUCUCUUUCUCUCCUUCAUCUCUUCUUCUUUAUUCUUGUUAUUCUCUAGGAAUAGUUCAUAACA